AUGACAAAAAAAAGGGGCCCAGGUGGAAGAAUGGAAGCCUGUCUUGCAGCUUCUUUGCAACAAAAGAGGGCACUCACGUUUGAGAUUUUCCAAUGUCUGGCACAUUCAUCCCUCUGCAGUCAAGCCACAGCAAAUGUCUGGAAUUACUCUACUGAAAGCUCCUUCCAGGAUACCGUCCAUAUGCAUCUUUGUAUCUCACCGUACUCUCCCCCAGUGCCUCCCGCAAUGCUGCCUGCUAAUAGGAGGAGCUCAACCAGUUUCUUUCAAAGGUAACAUCUCAAAGGUCUUUAUAGGCAUACACUAUGGCUUCAACA
rnacentral:lncRNA from 1 species